AAAUGGCUAGCAAUAGCUUUUAUAUCCUUAUACACCUGUGAACUAUUUGCCUUUGGGCACAAACUUAAACAUAAUGUAAUGAAUGUAAACUAUUAUAACAAAUACAACUUUCAACAACGGAUCUCUUGGCUCU
rnacentral:misc_RNA from 1 species